AUUGGAGUCUGCAACUCGACUCCAUGAAGUCGGAAUCGCUAGUAAUCGUGAAUCAGAAUGUCACGGUGAAUACGUUCCCGGGCCUUGUACACACCGCCCGUCACACCAUGGGAGUGGGCUGCAAAAGAAGUGGGUAGUUUAACCUUUCGGGGAGGACGCUCACCACUUUGUGGUUCAUGACUGGGGUGAAGUCGUAACAAGGUAGCCCUAGGGGAACCUGGGGCUGGAUCACCUCCUUAUACGAUGAU
rnacentral:rRNA from 1 species